rnacentral:rRNA from 1 species
AACGAACGCUGGCGGCAGGCCUAACACAUGCAAGUCGAACGCCCCGCAAGGGGAGUGGCAGACGGGUGAGUAACACGUGGGAACCUUCCCUGUAGUACGGAAUAGCCCAGGGAAACUUGGAGUAAUACCGUAUACGCCCGAAAGGGGAAAGAAUUUCGCUAUAGGAUGGGCCCGCGUAGGAUUAGCUAGUUGGUGAGGUAAUGGCUCACCAAGGCGACGAUCCUUAGCUGGUUUGAGAGAACGACCAGCCACACUGGGACUGAGACACGGCCCAGACGCCUACGGGAGGAAGCAGUGGGGAAUAUUGGACAAUGGGCGCAAGCCUGAUCCAGCCAUGCCGCGUGAGUGAUGAAGGCCUUAGGAUUGUAAAGCUCUUUUGGCGGGGACGAUAAUGACGGUACCCGCAGAAUAAGUCCCGGCUAACUUCGUGCCAGCAGCCGCGGUAAGAC